GCCUUCGUGAGGUAGUGUUCAGCAUGCUGGUCGCAUAUUCCAGAGGUCCGUGGUUCAAGUCCCGGCGGAGGCG
rnacentral:tRNA from 1 species